AACGAACGCUGGCGGCGCGCUUAAUACAUGCAAGUCGAACGAGAAGGUGUAGCAAUACACUUGUAAAGUGGCGAACGGGUGAGGAAUACAUGGGUAACCUACCCUCGAGUGGGGAACAACCAGCCGAAAGGUUGGCUAAUACCGCGUACGCUUCCGGGUCUUCGGAUUCGGAAGGAAAGUCAUACCGUGGGUAUGACGCUCAAGGAUGGGCUCAUGUCCUAUCAGCUUGUUGGUAGGGUAACGGCCUACCAAGGCUCCGACGGGUAGCUGGUCUGAGAGGACGAUCAGCCACACUGGCACUGCGACACGGGCCAGACUCCUACGGGAGGCAGCAGUAAGGAAUAUUGCGCAAUGGGCGAAAGCCUGACGCAGCGACGCCGCGUGGGGGAUGAAGGUCUUCGGAUUGUAAACCCCUUUCGGGAGGGAAAAUGGAACGAGUAAUCGUUCGG
rnacentral:rRNA from 1 species